UCGGAGCGAGCUCACGGUGCCGUUAUCGGGGGGGUUCUCACUCCGCUCCCGCGUCCCGUUACCGGAGGAAUCACCACCCUUGUCCCGCUCACGUGUCCCGUUACCGGAGAAUUCCUACCCCCGGUCCCUCUCAGCUGUCCCGUUACCGGGGCAUCCCCGGCUCCACCCCCAACCCCGUUACCGGGGGAUCUCCAGCUCUACUCCCAACCCCGUUACCGGGGGAUCUCCGGCUCGUUCCAGCCCCAUUACCGGGGAUCUCCGGCCUCAUUACCGGGAUUCCUGUCACCGGGAUUUCCCGGCUCCACCCCCAGCCCGUUUACCGGGGCAUCCCCGGUUCAUUCCAGCCCCCUUUACCGGGGGACCCCCGGCUCCAACCCCAGCCCCCAUUACCGAGAGAUCCCCGGUUCUUUCCCCCCCCCAGCCCCUCCCCGGUUACCGGCACAGCCCCCACACCGUUUUAGCAACAACCGAUUUUUAUUCACGGCACGGCGGCCGCCGCAAAGCAAAGAACGGGACGGGCCCCGGGGCACCGGGGCGGCACCGGGAGGGCACCGGGGGCGUCCCCGGGCCGUGGCCCCGGUCCCGGCCGUUACUUGGACCUCUGCCUCAUCUUCCUCCUCUUGCGCUUCAGCCUGCGGACAGAGCGGCGGCGUCACCGGGAGGCACUGGGAGCCCACCGGGAGCCCACCGGGAGCACCGGGAGAGCACCGGGAACCCACCGGGAGCACCGGAAGCCCACCGGGAGGGCACCGGGGGUUCUCACCUGCGCAUUCGCUUCUUACGCCACUGCGGGAGAGAAAGAGGGAGAGGAGUCAGAGCCGCCAUUCCCAGUGCUCCCAGUAUAACCAGUACAACCAGUGCCCACCUGUGCCGCCCAGUAUAACCAGUGCUCCCAGUACAGCCACUGCCCACCAGUGCUCCCAGUGCCUCCCAGUACAACCAAUACUCCCAGUGCCCAGCUGUGCCCCCAGUUCCCACCAGUGCUCCCAGUCCCGUACUGGUUUAUUUCCUUCCGUGCCCCCAGUCCCACACCAGUUUGGUUCUUCCAGUGCCCCCAGUCCCGGACUGGUUUGGUUCUCCCAGUCCCGAACUGGUUUAGCUCUGUCCCCAGUCCCAAACUGGUCCAGCUCCCCCAGUCCCACACCGCUUCUCUCUCCCAGUCCUCCCAGUUCCCCCCAUCGAAAACACCCCCAGGGCCCCCCCCCCCCCCCCCCCAACCCCGGGGCUUGUCCAGGCCUCACCCCCCGACCCCAUCCAGGCCCGGACAUUACCGGGACGCCAUCGGCCGCCCCCGCGCCGCCCCCGACGCCCCCCACCACUCACCUUGGCCCUCAUGGCGGUGCGGCGGAGCCCCGCUCAGUCCCGGCGGGCGGGGAGCGGCGGAUGGCGGCGGAUGGAGGCGAAUGCCGGCGGCGGCACCGGCGAAGGCACCAAGAUGGCGGCACCGAGAGGGGCGCGCGCCGGCCGGUGGGGCCUAUUUAUAGGGAAGCGCUCAAGCCACGCCCACCGCUGCGCGAAGCACGGCGGGAAUUGUAG
rnacentral:lncRNA from 1 species